rfam:Halobacteriaceae archaeon SB9 contig_35, whole genome shotgun sequence.
GGCCGAUGACGACAGCACCGUUCCGAGUCGGGGUGGCUCCCGACGGUGACGAACCCUAUGAGUGCCGAGGCC